GAAUAGUCCAAUUAUUUUCUGAAACUCUAAAGAAAAGGUCUGGAAUUCCUCUCAGCCGCUCUGUUGGUGUAUGUGUUUGGAGACAGGCGGUAGAUGUUAAAUGUUGGUAAGGAAAUCAGCGUGACCUGCUAGCCAGUCAUCGGGUUAAUGAGGCUUGCGCGAGCUGAAUAAAUGGGCACGCUCUCAGUCCAGGGGUUCUCCAUUCAUUUUUUACAUGAAUAUUUAAUUCUCGCUACCCUACUGCCAGCGCAACAGCCUGCAGCCCUGAGCAGACAGGGACACACUCCCCAUCUGCUGUAGGCCCUGAGACGGGGGUGGCGGUGGAGGACCGCGGAAGGUGUUGGGAGCAUAUCAAAGAUGCUCCUGGCUGGGAGAGGGCUUCUGAAGGGCAAAUGUAAAGCCCAGUGAGCUGCUGUCAGCCUUGCUGCAGGGGGAGAUGUUGAAGAACGCCAGAGCAGAGACGUCCCACUCCUCGUCCCAUUGUUCCUGUCACUCCGCUCCCGGUCCCUGCACCCCCUUUUCCCUAAGCAGCCCACCGUCCCAUUAAAGUAGACAACCUUGUCUCACAUGGCAGGUGUUUUCUGGAGGGUCGGGCAAAGGAAUGGCAGCAGAAGGAGUUCUUGUCAUGCAGUGCACUCGGCUUUGUCCUCACCAUGAACAUCAGACGUUAUAAUCACCUGCCUUCAGUGAACUGCCAUUGAAAGAUGCCACCCCCGAACUGGAACGCUCCUGUGCUGCCGAGAUUGUUCCUGAGUGGAGACAAGAUGUGGUUUCCAGUGAUUGUGGAUCUUCAGUCACGGACGGUAAACAAAUGAGUCACAGAAAGAGAUUCAAUUCAGCUGUUUGGAAAAUGAAUCAAAUUAGCUUUUUAGGUUAGUAGCUGGUUAUUGCUCAGCUGUUGGUGCACUGUAAUUUCCCUUAUGUUCUAUGUUGAAAACCUAAUAAAUUAGUUUCUUUAUAACC